UUCGGCCAUAUCAUAUUUAAAUACCGGUUCUCGUACGAUCCCCAAAUUUAAGCAAUAUCGAGCCUGCCCAGUACCUAGAUGGGUGACCAAUUGGGAAUAUCAGGUGCUGUAAG